ACGGGAGGCAGCAGUGGGGAAUAUUGGGCAAUGGGCGAAAGCCUGACCCAGCAAUGCCGCGUGAAGGAAGAAGGUCUUCGGAUUGUAAACUUCUUUUAUGAGGGACGAAGGAUUUGACGGUACCUCAUGAAUAAGCCACGGCUAACUACGUGCCAGCAGCCGCGGUAAUACGUAGGUGGCAAGCGUUAUCCGGAUUUACUGGGUGUAAAGGGCGCGUAGGCGGGGAAGCAAGUCAGAUGUGAAAUCUAUGGGCUUAACUCAUAAACUGCAUUUGAAACUGUUUCUCUUGAGUGCUGGAGAGGUAGAUGGAAUUCCUAGUGUAGCGGUGAAAUGCGUAGAUAUUAGGAAGAACACCAGUGGCGAAGGCGAUCUACUGGACAGUAACUGACGCUGAGGCGCGAAAGCGUGGGGAGCAGACAGGAUUAGAUACCCUGGUA
rnacentral:rRNA from 1 species